rnacentral:lncRNA from 1 species
AUAGCCGUUGCAAGUUCAAAAGGAGGAAGAAGACAAGAGUUGCUUUAUGCCUUGCUUUAUGACGCCACUUGGACUUGCUUUUGGGUCAACAUGACCGUUGGACUCCUUCUAGAAGCUAUUUGAAUUGAAUGGUGGAGAUUUAAAGAGAGAAAAGAAGGGCUAGGAUUAAAGGGGAUUGUGAGACAUCUUAACCUAGUUCUCCUUCUAUAUAAAGGCUAGUAGCCUCAUUGUAAACA